ensembl:snoRNA SNORA70 Small nucleolar RNA SNORA70
CUGCAGCUAAUUAAGCUGACCAUGCUCCCUUCCUCAUGGAGGCCUGGGGUGCAAUGGCUGCAACAGCAGCCUCCUUGGUCGUGUACGCAGCCUGUUACUUGUAUAGGUUGCUCUAAGGGACCUUGGAGACACUC